GCAGCACGUUAUUCACACGUUGGCCAGUAGAGGUCGCAUGCACCUAGUCAUUCCAGACAUUCCUUCACUGAACGUCAAAGAGUGAAGGCACGAGUCAUAUCGUUGUGUUGCAAAGACAAGGUUUAUACGUUAAAAUACUUGUCACUUCUCAAAACGAGUGUUGGAAAAGCAGCAUAAGAUAGCCUGGUUCCAGUGGGAGCCGGGUUGCUGUGUUUUGUGCUGCUGAGAACUCCAUGGAGCUCGAGAUCCUGUUUACUGUGGACUAGCUGUGUGUGACGCCAUGUUGUUUUUGUUUCCAUUACAAAAAAAAAGCUCCACCGUCUCGCUGAGUGCCAGCAAGAGUCAUGAGUACUUGUCAACUCGACUCCUCAACUGGAGAUAACUUUCUAGCACCUCACCAUGGGGAAGGAUGUAUUCAUAUGCCUUCACCAGCACCUGCAUUAAACAUGCAGAGAGUUACACAAGUUCUUACCACCUUGGGGCACCAUUCAGGUAAAAUCUCAGCUCAUCUUACUUGCUUAUUUGUAUACACUAACACCUGUGCAUGCUUUUGUCCACGUUGUUCCUUUGACGAUGAAUAAAUACCCCUUUUCUUUCUUUCUACAUUAAGGGUGCCUUUUCAUCUGAUUAAAUUUAUAAUGAACAGGGACAUUGCGGUUGUCCCAAGUGGAUGGUAUGAUGAUAGGAUGGUUUUCUGGCCCAGCUAUAAAAACACCGACAGAAUUGAAAGGGCAGCUUUAAAUGAGGAGCAGCAUGAGCCAAACUGGCCAAGAUUUGACGUUUCUGUUGUCCGAACUUGUGACAACUACAAAGACGCAUUAAAAAUAAUGCAACAAUAUGGAAAGGGCUGCGACACCUCAGACCUGCAAUCUGAGGCAGAGAACGAGGAGCUGCCAGAAAAAAGGAACAGGAAGCCAGUCCAUCGUCUCGGGGACUCAGAUGAUAGCGAAGAAGACCCGGGAAAUAGUGACCUCACAUCUCUGGGGUUGGCAAGCCAAUUGCACAGGCAGACUCCACCAUCUCGCCGAGUGCCAGCAAGAGUCAUGAGUACUUGUUAACUCGACUCCUCAACUGUAGAUAACUUUCUAGCACCUCACCAUGGGGAAGGACGCAUUCAUAUGCCUUCACCAGCACCUGCAUUAAACAUGCAGAGAGUUACACAAGGAACGGCAGUCCCUCCUCGACUCCCUCCACCCCCCUCACCAGCAGCCCUCAACAUGUGGCAGACAGAGGAGCCUGGAUCCAGCCUGGCCUACAGGCCAACAUGGCGAGGGGGAAGAAUGGCCGACAACAUUUCCUGCUCUGCGCCUGAGGUAAUCCACAUCCUUAGCCUGCUGGAAACUAUUAAGCACAACCAAGACCAGCUGAUUGCGAAGGUGCUGUGAGUAAAAAUGUGUUGACAAGGUCAGCCACGGACGCUGAGGUCACCAAACACGCCAUCAGGUGGUUCAACUUGGCGGGGGAUCGGGCAACGAGGAGACGAGUCCCGCUUCCACCUCCUCAGGAGGAAUAGAGAUGUAUAUGUAUAAAUAAACAACCUUUUAUUGGACUUCUUGUCAUUCACCAGUUAUUCAUUUUCUGAUAUGUUAGCUGUGCAUGGAGCAGCGUUUCCUUGAAGUUGUAGCCUAAUAGAUUAAAUAUGUAUAUUUACUUUUUAAAUAUAUAUUAUAUAUAUUUACUUUAUAGAGUGAAUUGACCAUUUUCUGUUUCUGCCUAUUGACAAUAUUGUUAGUUUAAAAAUACAAGGCAAUGCAUAUGUAAGCCUAUAUUGCUGUAGUAGGGCUUAGUGAAUUUUUUAGUUUCCUAUUUUAUCCUACAGCAAGAACAGAAGGGAUUUUGAAAAUAAGAUAAAGGGGUCCAAAACGGCCAGAUGAGCCAGGGUUUUUAUGAGUCCGUUG